UAAGGAAUAUUGGACAAUGGCCGAAAGGCUGAUCCAGCCAUGCCGCGUGAAGGACUAAGGCCCUAUGGGUUGUAAACUUCUUUUAUACGGGACAAAACCCCUCUACGUGUAGAGGGUUGAUGGUACUGUAAGAAUAAGCAUCGGCUAACUCCGUGCCAGCAGCCGCGGUAAUACGGAGGAUGCAAGCGUUAUCCGGAUUUAUUGGGUUUAAAGGGUGCGUAGGCUGACUUUUAAGUCAGUGGUGAAAUCC
rnacentral:rRNA from 1 species